UACGAAGGGGGCUAGCGUUGCUCGGAAUCACUGGGCGUAAAGCGCACGUAGGCGGACUCUUAAGUCGGUGGUGAAAUCCUGGAGCUCAACUCCAGAACUGCCUCCGAUACUGCGAGUCUCCGAGUCCGGGAGAGGUGAGUGGAACUGCGAGUGUAGAGGUGAAAUUCGUAGAUAUUCGCAAGAACACCAGUGGCGAAGGCGGCUCACUGGCCCGGUACUGACGCUGAGGUGGCGAAAG
rnacentral:rRNA from 1 species